rnacentral:rRNA from 1 species
UACGUAGGGAGCGAGCGUUGUCCGAAGUUACUGGGCGUAAAGCGCGCGUAGGCGGGUUUGCAAGUCGGAGGUGAAAUGCUGGGGCUCAACUCCAUGCAGUGCCUCCGAUACUUCAAGUCUUGAGUGCGGUAGGGAGAAGUGGAAUGGCUAGUGUAGCGGUGAAAUGCGUAGAUAUCAGUCGGAACACCGGUGGCGAAGGCGGCUUCUUGGGCCGUUACUGACGCUGAGGCGCGAAAGCCAGGGGAGCGAACGGG